rnacentral:lncRNA from 1 species
AAACACCUUCUCAAAUAUCUCCCUUUCAAAAUUGUAGGAUUUAAAAAUCCAAUCUUGAAACUGAUAAGGUUUAAUAAGAAUUUCUUUUUGUUUUCUCUUUGCCUACAAUAACGUUAGCAUGAUUUAAUGACCACUUUGGGUCCUUUGCAGUGUUGUCUUCUCUUUUAAAAAGAGUGUUGGAAAAUUUAGGAGUUUCACUUGUCAUAGUACACAUACCACAAAAAUACUAACUCAAUACUUUGUAUAUCGGGUUUGUAUAAGGAAAGAACAUCACAUCGAUUUCAGAAAUGAAUUAAUUUUUAAGUAGAUGGCCGCUAAUAGAAUAUCUUCAUUAUUUGUUUUUAAAAUAAUUAUAUGGUAUCGUGUACAUGCAAAAUAUGGAUAAUCACAGCUUAUUUGUGCCAUGUGAAGCUUGUAAAGCAACUUAUUAUUUCCUAUGUAAGAUUUUAUCACUCCAUAGAUAAUUUAUAGUGUAUGUGCUGCUGGAGCAAGCACAAACGUUAUUGUCACUAGAAGCGGGUAACAAGUUUAAAAAUGGGACUUGCAUCAAACAUUUAUAGUUUAAAAACAUUUUUCUUAAAGUAUCAUCCGUUUUGUGCCUGAAAUAGAUAAGAACUUAAUCUAGAUACUGUUUUUUCUUAAUCUCCAACAUAUAAAAUAAAUUUUAUGAGGGAAAUAAUAAGUAUUUUUAAAUCAUCCAUAUUAUCCAAGAUGUAAAGAAAUCCAAACUCAGAAACUCUUAACCGUAAGUGAACUGUGUAACUGGUAUUUUUCUGAAUUAACCAAAUCAUUGACAAACUUCCAUGUCAUUCAAAUAAUAAUAUGUUCAUGGUUUGAUUGUGUUUGUGUGUUAUUUGUAUUUGUGGCACUUGAAUCACAAUGCUUAUUACUUGUACCUAAACUUAUAUCUACAAGUUCAGAAAAUGAUAGUAUUUCAGUGCAUCACUAAAUAUGUAGAAAUAAAAGAGAAAAUAACAGCAGAUGCAUUAUACACAUAGAAUAAUGAGUGAUUAGUUAU